UGAGCAUUUUAGUGAAAAGGC
rnacentral:piRNA from 1 species